UACGUAGGGUGCAAGCGUUGUCCGGAAUUAUUGGGCGUAAAGAGCUCGUAGGCGGUUUGUUGCGUCGGCUGUGAAAACCUGAGGCUCAACCUCAGGCCUGCAGUCGAUACGAGCAGACUAGAGUGUGGUAGGGGAGACUGGAAUUCCUGGUGUAGCGGUGAAAUGCGCAGAUAUCAGGAGGAACACCUAUAGCGAAGGCAGCUCGCUGGUACGACACUGACGCUAAGGCGCGAAAGCGUGGGGAGCGAACAGG
rnacentral:rRNA from 1 species